GACGAACGCUGGCGGCGUGCUUAACACAUGCAAGUCGAACGGAAAGGCCCUGCUUGCAGGGUACUCGAGUGGCGAACGGGUGAGUAACACGUGGGUGAUCUGCCCUGCACUUCGGGAUAAGCCUGGGAAACUGGGUCUAAUACCGGAUAGGAGCCAUUUUUAGUGUGAUGGUUGGAAAGUUUUUUCGGUGUAGGAUGAGCUCGCGGCCUAUCAGCUUGUUGGUGGGGUAAUGGCCUACCGAGGCGGCGACGGGUAGCCGGCCUGAGAGGGUGGACGGCCACAUUGGGACUGAGAGACGGCCCAGACUCCUACGGGAGGCAGCAGUGGGGAAUAUUGCACAAUGGGCGCAAGCCUGAUGCAGCGACGCCGCGUGGGGGAUGACGGCCUUCGGGUUGUAAACUCCUUUCGCUAGGGACGAAGCUUUUUGUGACGGUACCUAGAUAAGAAGCACCGGCUAACUACGUG
rnacentral:rRNA from 1 species